rnacentral:tRNA from 1 species
ACCGAAAUAGCUCAAUUGGGAGAGCGUUAGACCAUAGAUCAAAAGGUCCCUAGUUCAAUUCCGGGAUUCAGCA